rnacentral:sRNA from 1 species
AAAGAGUGUUCGACGAAAUGUCUGAACCACUAAUUAGAGAGACUCGUGGCUCUCUCCUAAGGUAUUGGUUACAGGGAGCGUUUUGGCUUUAACUUGUUGAUUUGUAAUGCUUGUUAGGUUAGCUCUCGUCAAUGGUGAUUGAGUCUGGGACUAGUUUAACUUGAGGGUCUCUGUUGCGGUGGCACUUAGAUUUGGUUAUCGAACUUGUUGUCUAGGGAUAGUUUAUUGAGCAUGUCAGUCACCUGUAGAUUGAGGAAACUAACUACUCGAUUACCCCAUCCUCGAGAAUUUUCUCAUCCAAUUGAUUUCUUU